GAUAAGAACGCAGCGAAAUGCGAUAAGUAAUGUGAAUUGCAGAAUUCAGUGAAUCAUCGAAUUUUUGAACGCACCUUGCGCCCCUUGGUAUUCCGAGGAGCAUGCCUGUUUGAGUGUCAGUAAAUUCUCAAACCCUUCCAGCUUUUUGUAGUUGGCUCUGGGUCUUGGAUGUGGAGGUGUUGCAGGCCUUUUUGAGGUCAGCUCCCCUGAAAUGCAUUAGCAGAACCGUUUGCAAUCCAUCACAGGUGUGAUAAUUAUCUACGCCAGUGGGUUGCUCUCUGUCACUGUUCAGCUUACAAUUGUCCCAUUCUUGUGGACCAACUAUUGCUGAUUCUUUGACCUCAAAUCAGGUAGGACUACCCGCUGAACUUAAGCAUAUCAAUAAGCGGAGGA
rnacentral:misc_RNA from 1 species